rnacentral:rRNA from 2 species
GGCUUAGAACUAACGCUGGCAGUGCGUCUUAAGCAUGCAAGUCAAACGGGAUGUAGCAAUACAUCUAGUGGCGAACGGGUGAGUAACGCGUGGAUGAUCUACCUACGAGAUGGGGAUAACUAUUAGAAAUAGUAGCUAAUACCGAAUAAAGUCAAUUAAUUUGUUGAUUGAUGAAAGGAAGCCUUUAAAGCUUCGCUUGUAGAUGAGUCUGCGUCUUAUUAGUUAGUUGGUAGGGUAAAUGCCUACCAAGGCGAUGAUAAGUAACCGGCCUGAGAGGGUGAACGGUCACACUGGAACUGAGAUACGGUCCAGACUCCUACGGGAGGCAGCAGCUAAGAAUCUUCCGCAAUGGGCGAAAGCCUGACGGAGCGACACUGCGUGAAUGAAGAAGGUCGAAAGAUUGUAAAAUUCUUUUAUAAAUGAGGAAUAAGCUUUGUAGGAAAUGACGAAGUGAUGACGUUAAUUUAUGAAUAAGCCCCGGCUAAUUACGUGCCAGCAGCCGCGGUAAUACGUA